rnacentral:rRNA from 1 species
GGUUCGAUUCUGACUCAGAUUGAACGCUGGCGGGAUGCUUUACACAUGCAAGUCGAACGGCACGGACACGGUCUGGUGGCGAGUGGCGAACGGGUGAGUAAUGUAUCGGAACGUGCCUAGUAGCGGGGAUAACUACGCGAAAGCGUAGCUAAUGCCGCAUACGCCCUUCGGGGAAAGCGGGGGUCUUCGGGCCUCGCACUAUUAAGAGCAGCCGAUAUCGGAUUAGCUAGUUGGUGGGGUAACGGCUCACCAAGGCGACGAUCCGUAGCUGGUUUGAGAGGACGACCAGCCGCUGGGACUGAGACACGGCCGGAGCUCCUGCAGGAGGUACGCGAUAGGGGAGUACGGACAAUGGAAACCCUGAUCCGGCGCCAUCCGCAUCGUGCGAUGAACCUUCGAGGUUGUAAGCUGCCACCUUGGCAGAGAGGAAAGAAACUUAACUUCAGGAUAAUACGUACAGCAGCGUACCUGCAGAAUAGCACCAGCUAACUACACGUGCCAGCAGCCGCGGUAAUACGUAGAGAUUGCAGCGUUAAUCAGAUUACUGGGCGUAAAGCGAUGCGCAGGCGGUUCGGAAAGAAGAUGUGAAAUCCCAGAGCUUAACUUUGGAACUGCAUUUUUAACUACCGAGCUAGAGUGUGUCAGAGGAGGUGGAAUUCCCGCGUAUUAGCAGUGAAAUGCACGUAGAUAUGCAGAGGAGCGCAUUCUCAGCGAAGGCAACCUCCUGGGAUAACACUGACGCUCGCCGCGAAAGCGUGGGAGCGAGCAAGUUCGAUUGCCUGGUAGUCCACGCCCUAAACGAUGUCAACUAGCUGUUGGGGCCUUCGGGCCUUGGUAGCGCAGCUAACGCGUAAAGUUGACCGCCUGGGAAAUUACGGUCGCAAAGAUUAAAACUCAAAGAUGACGGGGACCACUGGCAGUGGAUGAUGGCAUGGAUCAAUAAUUCGAUGCAACGCGAAAAACCUUACCUACCCUUGACAUGUCUGGAAUCCCGAAGAGAUUUGGGAGUGCUCCGCAAGAGAACCGGAACGGGUGCUGCAUGGCUGUCGUCAGCUCGUGUCGUGAGAUGUUGGGUUAAGUCCGCAACGGAAACAACCAUAUCCAUUAGUUGCUACGAAGGACACUCUAAUGAGACCGCCGGUGACAAACCGGAGGAAGGUGGGGAUGACGUCAAGUCCUCACUUCGGCCCUUAUGGGUGGGGCUUCACGUCAUACAAUGGUCAGGACAGAGGGUGCGCCAACCCGCGAGGGCAAUCCCAGAAACCCCGAUCGUAGUCCGGAUCGCAGUCUGCAACUCGACUGCGUGGAAAUUCAGAAUCGCUGGUAAUCGCGGAUCAGCAUGUCGCGGUGAAUACGUUCCCGGGUCUUGUACACCGCCCGUCUCACACCAUGGGGUGGUUUUACCAAGUAGUUAGCCUAACCGUAAGGAGGGCGAUUACCACGGUAGGAUUCAUGACUGGGGUGAAGUCGUAGCUAAAGGUAG